CAUGCAAGUCUACUUGAUCCUUCGGGUGAAGGUGGCGGACGGGUGAGUAACGCGUAAAGAACUUGCCUUACAGACUGGGACAACAUUUGGAAACGAAUGCUAAUACCGGAUAUUAUGAUUGGGUCGCAUGAUCUGGUUAUGAAAGCUAUAUGCGCUGUGAGAGAGCUUUGCGUCCCAUUAGUUAGUUGGUGAGGUAACGGCUCACCAAGACGAUGAUGGGUAGCCGGCCUGAGAGGGUGAACGGCCACAAGGGGACUGAGACACGGCCCUUACUCCUACGGGAGGCAGCAGUGGGGAAUAUUGGACAAUGGACCAAAAGUCUGAUCCAGCAAUUCUGUGUGCACGAAGAAGUUUUUCGGAAUGUAAAGUGCUUUCAGUUGGGAAGAAGUCAGUGACGGUACCAACAGAAGAAGCGACGGCUAAAUACGUGCCAGCAGCCGCGGUAAUACGUAUGUCGCAAGCGUUAUCCGGAUUUAUUGGGCGUAAAGCGCGUCUAGGCGGCUUAGUAAGUCUGAUGUGAAAAUGCGGGGCUCAACCCCGUAUUGCGUUGGAAACUGCUAAACUAGAGUACUGGAGAGGUAGGCGGAACUACAAGUGUAGAGGUGAAAUUCGUAGAUAUUUGUAGGAAUGCCGAUGGGGAAGCCAGCCUACUGGACAGAUACUGACGCUAAAGCGCGAAAGCGUGGGUAGCAAACAGGAUU
rnacentral:rRNA from 1 species